CAGACACCUGGAGACUGAGGUUUUAAAGGAGAGUGGGGCCUUUGGUGGUGUAUGUCAUUGAGGGGAAGUGUCGGCUGUCAAUGUCCCAGAGCUUCCUGUCUCCUUGAGGCCCCAGCGCUGAGCCUUGACUCUGGUUUCCGGAUCCUGCGUUUAGGGUAAAACCGCUCCAGUACCUGCAGAAGGAGCUGUUGGGUCUUUGACUGAGAAGAACCAGUGGGAGACAUUGCUGGCCGCUCUAGGUCACCGUGCUCGACCUAAAAGAGAAAUGCUGCAGGCAGUGCUCCAGGUCUUUUCCAGAGGGGUCGUCAGUGAAGAGCGCGAAGCCUGAAAUCUGUGGCUUCCUCAUGCCUGCUCUCUGGUUGACUGUGUUCAGGAACUCCUCCACUGUGGUGGAGCCGUCAAAACCUACAACCUGGAGAGAGAUGGAGGAAGAGCCAAAUCCAGCUGAUUAUCUCCUGCGCUAUAAUGAGCACCAGGCCUCCCAUCACAGCCUUUGAUCCUGCUGUGGGAGACAGUAGCUCUCUCACACACAGGGACAAGACGGCACCAUCAACCCUCAGGAGAGGAGGACGAGGACAACUUAGAAGUGUUUCGAGAGAUGGAGUGACUCUUCAAGGAAGAUAAAGACAACAAGAGGACAUAAAGACUAGAGCGUUUGUGAAUGUGAGAGUAAAAGAAGACAGAGACGAGAGUGUUCACCUUAAAGAGCUUGAGAGCCUCUGUUUGAAGAGCCUCGGAAGGCAGCGUGGUGAGAGGGUACCGCAGACCCUCUUUACUGAAACACAACACUUCACGUUUCCACAGAGCCGAGUCUGCACGCAUGAACACACAACAGAUUGAAAAACAAAUUAAAAUGGCCCAACAGCUGUUAUCAGGCCAUAAGAACUGGUCGUAAACACUGUCUGGGGUCUAAAUAGAGUCAUUCAAUCUGUCUGUCUCAAUUUAAAACCAUCUUGAGAAGCAGUUGUACAUGUUUUAGACGUGUCUGGUUGGGGGAUAUUUUAAAGUAACUUCUGACCUGAGUCUCCGUCCACAUCCAGCAGCUUGCCGAUCAGCUGCUCGUAC